rnacentral:rRNA from 1 species
GUCUUUUUGUUUUAAUUUAAAGUCUGAUCUGCUCACUGAUUUUAUUAAAUAGCCGCGGUAUUUUGACCGUGCGAAGGUAGCAUAAUAAUUAGGUUCUUAAUUGGAAUCUGGAAUGAAUGAUUGGACGAGGAAAUUUCUGUCUCUUUCUUAUUUUAUUGAAUUUUACUUUUAAGUUAAAAGGCUUAAAUUUUAUUAAAAGACGAGAAGACCCUAUAGAGUUUUAUUAUUUAAUUUUUAUUUAUUUUAGGUUUUGUUUUUUGUAAAUUUUUUGAAUAAUUUGGUUGGGGUGACUGAAAAAUUUAAUUAACUUUUUUUUUAUUUAGACAAUGAUAUUUGAUUUUUUGAUCCGGUUUUUCCGAUUUAAGAUAAAUUACCUUAGGGAUAACAGCGUAAUUUUUUUUGAGAGUUCUUAUCGAAAAAAGAGUUUGCGA